rnacentral:rRNA from 1 species
GAUGAACGCUGGCGGCGUGCCUAAUACAUGCAAGUAGAACGCUGAAGACUUUAGCUUGCUAAAGUUGGAAGAGUUGCGAACGGGUGAGUAACGCGUGGGUAACCUGCCUCAUACAGGGGGAUAACAGUUAGAAAUGACUGCUAAUACCGCAUAAGCGCACAGUGCUGCAUGGCACAGUGUGAAAAACUCCGGUGGUAUGAGAUGGACCCGCGUCUGAUUAGCUAGUUGGUGGGGUAACGGCCUACCAAGGCGACGAUCAGUAGCCGGCCUGAGAGGGUGAACGGCCACAUUGGGACUGAGACACGGCCCAG